rnacentral:rRNA from 1 species
AAGCGACGUUCAACCUCAAAAGAAGCAGAGGGGGCUUAGUGGUGGGGUGACUGCGUACCUUUUGUAUAAUGGGUCAGCGACUUAUAUUCUGUAGCAAGGUUAACCGAAUAGGGGAGCCGGAGGGAAACCGAGUCUUAACCGGGCGUUAAGUUGCAGGGUAUAGACCCGAAACCCGGUGAUCUAGCCAUGGGCAGGUUGAAGGUUGGGUAACACUAACUGGAGGACCGAACCGACUAAUGUUGAAAAAUUAGCGGAUGACCUGUGGCUGGGGGUGAAAGGCCAAUCAAACCGGGAGAUAGCUGGUUCUCCCCGAAAGCUAUUUAGGUAGCGCCUCGUGAAUUCAUCUCCGGGGGUAGAGCACUGUUUCGGCUAGGGGGCCAUCCCGGCUUACCAACCCGAUGCAAACUGCGAAUACCGGAGAAUGUUAUCACGGGAGACACACGGCGGGUGCUAACGUCCGUCGUGAAGAGGGAAACAACCCAGACCGCCAGCUAAGGUCCCAAAGUCAUGGUUAAGUGGGAAACGAUGUGGGAAGGCCCAGACAGCCAGGAUGUUGGCUUAGAAGCAGCCAUCAUUUAAAGAAAGCGUAAUAGCUCACUGGUCGAGUCGGCCUGCGCGGAAGAUGUAACGGGGCUAAACCAUG